rnacentral:rRNA from 1 species
GGAUCAGGUGGGAAUACACGCUGAAAUUUUGCAUAUCAUUAAGAGGGAGGAA